rnacentral:rRNA from 1 species
UACGUAGGGGGCAAGCGUUGUCCGGAUUUAUUGGGCGUAAAGCGCUCGCAGGCGGUCCGAUGCGUCGUGCGUGAAAGACCCCGGCUCAACUGGGGAGGGUCACUCGAUACUGAUCGACUCGAAGGCAGGAGAGGGUAGUGGAAUUCCCGGUGUAGUGGUGAAAUGCGUAGAUAUCGGGAGGAACACCAGUGGCGAAGGCGACUACCUGGCCUGUUCUUGACGCUGAGGCGCGAAAGCUAGGGGAGCAAACGGG